AUUGAACGCUGGCGGCAUGCCUUACACAUGCAAGUCGAACGGCAGCAUGGAGAGCUUGCUCUCUGAUGGCGAGUGGCGAACGGGUGAGUAAAGCAUCGGAACGUACCGUGUAGUGGGGGAUAACGUAGCGAAAGUUACGCUAAUACCGCAUACGCACUGAGGUGGAAAGCAGGGGAUCGCAAGACCUUGCGCUAUACGAGCGGCCGGUGUCAGAUUAGCUAGUUGGUAAGGUAAAGGCCUACCAAGGCGACGAUCUGUGGCGGGUCUGAGAGGAUGAUCCGCCACCCUGGGACUGAGACACGGCCCAGACUCCUACGGGAGGCAGCAGUGGGGAAUUUUGGACAAUGGGGGCAACCCUGAUCCAGCCAUGCCGCGUGAGUGAAGAAGGCCUUCGGGUUGUAAAGCUCUUUCGGCCGGGAAGAAAUCGCACAGGCUAAUACUCUGUGUGGAUGACGGUACCGGCAUAAGAAGCACCGGCUAACUACGUGCCAGCCGCCGCCGUAA
rnacentral:rRNA from 1 species